rnacentral:rRNA from 3 species
ACUUAAAUUGAAGAGUUUGAUCAUGGCUCAGAUUGAACGCUGGCGGCAGGCCUAACACAUGCAAGUCGAACGGUAGCACAGAGAGCUUGCUCUCGGGUGACGAGUGGCGGACGGGUGAGUAAUGUCUGGGAAACUGCCUGAUGGAGGGGGAUAACUACUGGAAACGGUAGCUAAUACCGCAUAACGUCGCAAGACCAAAGAGGGGGACCUUCGGGCCUCUUGCCAUCAGAUGUGCCCAGAUGGGAUUAGCUAGUAGGUGGGGUAACGGCUCACCUAGGCGACGAUCCCUAGCUGGUCUGAGAGGAUGACCAGCCACACUGGAACUGAGACACGGUCCAGACUCCUACGGGAGGCAGCAGUGGGGAAUAUUGCACAAUGGGCGCAAGCCUGAUGCAGCCAUGCCGCGUGUAUGAAGAAGGCCUUCGGGUUGUAAAGUACUUUCAGCGGGGAGGAAGGUGUUGUGGUUAAUAACCGCAGCAAUUGACGUUACCCGCAGAAGAAGCACCGGCUAACUCCGUGCCAGCAGCCGCGGUAAUACGGAGGGUGCAAGCGUUAAUCGGAAUUACUGGGCGUAAAGCGCACGCAGGCGGUCUGUCAAGUCGGAUGUGAAAUCCCCGGGCUCAACCUGGGAACUGCAUUCGAAACUGGCAGGCUAGAGUCUUGUAGAGGGGGGUAGAAUUCCAGGUGUAGCGGUGAAAUGCGUAGAGAUCUGGAGGAAUACCGGUGGCGAAGGCGGCCCCCUGGACAAAGACUGACGCUCAGGUGCGAAAGCGUGGGGAGCAAACAGGAUUAGAUACCCUGGUAGUCCACGCCGUAAACGAUGUCGACUUGGAGGUUGUGCCCUUGAGGCGUGGCUUCCGGAGCUAACGCGUUAAGUCGACCGCCUGGGGAGUACGGCCGCAAGGUUAAAACUCAAAUGAAUUGACGGGGGCCCGCACAAGCGGUGGAGCAUGUGGUUUAAUUCGAUGCAACGCGAAGAACCUUACCUACUCUUGACAUCCAGAGAACUUUCCAGAGAUGGAUUGGUGCCUUCGGGAACUCUGAGACAGGUGCUGCAUGGCUGUCGUCAGCUCGUGUUGUGAAAUGUUGGGUUAAGUCCCGCAACGAGCGCAACCCUUAUCCUUUGUUGCCAGCGGUUAGGCCGGGAACUCAAAGGAGACUGCCAGUGAUAAACUGGAGGAAGGUGGGGAUGACGUCAAGUCAUCAUGGCCCUUACGAGUAGGGCUACACACGUGCUACAAUGGCGCAUACAAAGAGAAGCGACCUCGCGAGAGCAAGCGGACCUCAUAAAGUGCGUCGUAGUCCGGAUUGGAGUCUGCAACUCGACUCCAUGAAGUCGGAAUCGCUAGUAAUCGUAGAUCAGAAUGCUACGGUGAAUACGUUCCCGGGCCUUGUACACACCGCCCGUCACACCAUGGGAGUGGGUUGCAAAAGAAGUAGGUAGCUUAACCUUCGGGAGGGCGCUUACCACUUUGUGAUUCAUGACUGGGGUGAAGUCGUAACAAGGUAACCGUAGGGGAACCUGCGGUUGGAUCACCUCCUUACCUUAAAGAA